GAAGCAAUAAUUGUCAGGAUAUGAUCAUUUGCAGAUGCUCCUCCAGUUGCAAUAAUCUUUUUGGGUGGAGAAGGCAUUCCAAGUCUCUCGGCAUGAGCUCGCAUGGAGAGUAACUGCCCCUCAAUUAUCGCUCGAACCUAUAACUUCUUCAAUAGAAGGCCACUUACCUCUGAAGGCGGAUCAAACUCUUCUACUUCAUGUUCUAUUACUCCAUCCAUGGAGUCACCUGUGAAAUUAUCAAGAACGUAGCGGUGGAAACCAACUGGAGACCAAGCUUGUGAGUUUUAUCAUAAUUUUCGCAUGAUAUAGAAAAUUAAUCAACUGGUCUAUUUCGGUUUAGCUGUUUUUUAGGAGUGCACUGACCUGGAAGAGGAGGAAGUAUUUCAUGCUCUUUGUAAUAAAAGCCAAUCUUUCCACCUUUUGCAAGUGACAAGUGUACAAUGUUUAUAAAGAAACUAAAGUUUACGAGAUCUGAAUUAAAUUUCACUAA